rnacentral:rRNA from 1 species
UACGAAGGGGGGCUAGCGUUGCUCGGAAUCACUGGGCGUAAAGCGCACGUAGGCGGCUUGUUAAGUCAGGGGUGAAAUCCUGGAGCUCAACUCCAGAACUGCCUUUGAUACUGGCGAGCUUGAGUUCGGGAGAGGUGAGUGGAACUGCGAGUGUAGAGGUGAAAUUCGUAGAUAUUCGCAAGAACACCAGUGGCGAAGGCGGCUCACUGGCCCGGUACUGACGCUGGAGGUGCGAAAG